rnacentral:rRNA from 1 species
GACGAACGCUGGCGGCGUGCUUAACACAUGCAAGUCGAACGGAAAGGCCCUGCUUUUGUGGGGUGCUCGAGUGGCGAACGGGUGAGUAACACGUGAGUAACCUGCCCUUGACUUUGGGAUAACUUCAGGAAACUGGGGCUAAUACCGGAUAGGAGCUCCUGCUGCAUGGUGGGGGUUGGAAAGUUUCGGCGGUUGGGGAUGGACUCGCGGCUUAUCAGCUUGUUGGUGGGGUAGUGGCUUACCAAGGCUUUGACGGGUAGCCGGCCUGAGAGGGUGACCGGCCACAUUGGGACUGAGAUACGGCCCAGACUCCUACGUGAGGCAGCAGUGGGGAAUAUUGCACAAUGGGCGGAAGCCUAAUGCAGCAACGCCGCGUGCGGGAUGACGGCCUUCGGGUUGUAAACCGCUUUCGCCUGUGACGAAGCGUGAGUGACGGUAAUGGGUAAAGAAGCACCGGCUAACUACGUG